rnacentral:rRNA from 1 species
AGACGUAGGGGGCAAGCGUUGUCCGGAAUUACUGGGCGUAAAGGGUGCGUAGGCGGCAUUACAAGUCUAAUGUGAAAUCCCCGUGCUUAACAUGGGGUUUGCAAUAGAAACUGUAAAGCUAGAGUGCAGGAGAGGUAAGUGGAAUUCCUAGUGUAGCGGUGAAAUGCAUAGAUAUUAGGAGGAACACCAGUGGCGAAGGCGGCUUUCUGGACUGUAACUGACGCUGAUGCACGAAAGCGUGGGGAGC